AGCAAAACUAGUAAUGGAUAUAUAUUUAAAAAACAAAAAAUGGAGUAGGUUACAUAUGGGCCCUGAGAUGAGCAUUACAUCAUGACAUGGUGCAUCUCAUUGAAUCAGAUCAUUUGACUCAUUGUGGGGGUUGGGACUGAACCCUUUCGUGCUAAGAGUGGGCAGGUUCUUCUGAACUGCAUCUGGAGAAAAGGUGGAUGGAAAGUAUCCUGUAAACCAUUUUGAAAAUUCAGGAAAAAUUCUCCAAUGGGAUGCUGGGAUAGGCUUUAAAUCUUAGUUUUGUCCUAGCCAGCGGGGACUGUGAGGUCAUUCUUGCUCUAACUCUGGGGUCUCUUUACAUUAUCGUGGGUCUCCAAGAGUUACACUUGCCAUUGGUUUGGAAAGCUCAACACAUCCAAUGAUGGAUUCCUAACCAAGGCCUUAAUUUGCCCAGAUUAUUUGUUUUUUAAUGCAUGUUUCUGAACUAAAGCAUUUGGGUAGCCUUCUCAAAAUCAAUGGAAGGAGUUAUAUACUUAAAAGUGGGCCUCCACCAAGCUGAAUCUCAUCCUAUGACUCUCUGCCUCCUUGAGAAGUAUUGAAAAUUUUCUGAUCUCUUAAGUUGAUCCUGCAUCGUGCUACUUGAUAUGCAACGUUCAGUGAGCUCUUCACUCUGCUUUGACUGUUACUUAUCUUGCACUAGUAUUCAAUCAGAUGUUGCACUUAUACUUCAUACAUAAGUAAAAAAAAAAUGUCAUAGUGCAGAUGGUACAGAGAUUUAAUUGUCUGUAAAUAGUUUUUCAAUCAGGUGUUGUGUCUAUUUUUGAGCCUUUAAUUCUUGGUGAGGUGAUGUCUCCCUGAUGCAGAUCAUCUUAUGUACUGGAGUACACAGCACUCAUAUUUACUUGUCCCCUUGGAAGUUUGAUACUCUUAACAGAUUUUCUUUCCUGCAUCUGGAUAACAGUUUUUCCCUUCUAUCUGUGUUCGAUUUUCUGAGGAAUACUACUUCUUUUUUUUUUUAAGUAGCAUGUCAUAAUCAUUUUUUAUGAGGCGGCAUUAACAUCUGCUAGGAUCUCAUGGCUAGGUGGCAAUACUCUCCACAUCCUGGACCCCUUAAAAAAUAUAAAUUAAGUUUAUUGUAAAAGUUUUUUUUUAAUCUAAUGGGUGUUUUUAAUCUUUCUCUUAAAUCAGAAACUUUAAAACUUUUUUCUUAAAUCACUUAACUUCCAAUUUAUUCAUGUAAUCUGAAAGUCUAACAAAGUUUCGGAUUUGGGGUGCCUUUUUGGCUCUUCCUGACUUUUUCUCUCAUUCUGUUUAUCCUUACAGCCACAAUUCUUCCAUUUCGUGCAAAUUAGAGGUAGUGCUGGGGUCCCUGGCAAGUUCCCAAUACAGGUCUCAGAUGACUGAAACCCUUCCCAUGGGUACAUCGACACAUUAUUGAGCAAUUAAAUUCUCUUGUGGCAGUCAUCUGUGGAAUAAGUAAACUCCCUCUAUUAGCCACACAAUGAUAACAUGCACCAUAAACGCAUGCUUGGCCUCCAUUGUGUCAACAAGUAGUUACAUUCUCCAAGGAAGAAAUGCGAAUAUAAUUCUAAAACUACACUAAUAAACAGGUUUGGUUUAUUACUUGUUUCUACCUUGAAUGGCAAGAUUAAAUUCAAUUUAAAAGAUUAUCAUAAAAUGAGAAGGCAUACAGGUAAGCAUGAAGUUAUUAUUUAUUCAUAGUAAAUAUAUUAUUAAUAAUUUGGGGUUGGAAGGUGGAAAGGGAGGCCAAAAGAGGAGAGUGAUUUACAUUUAGAUUUUUUUUUCCACUGACGACAUAAAAGCUAGUUGUAAAGAUAAUUUUCUCAUCAAUAACUUUUGCAAGACUGUGACGUACAUUACCAAUCACUCGUGGAGCUGCUUGCACAAGCAGAAUAUUUAUGCAACAGGACGUCAAGUAACACGCUCUUGAAAAUCAGGAGAUUUCUGAUUAUGCAGUGUAGUGUACAGUUAGUGUUGUAACUAGUGAGUUUGCUGUUUGGGUUCUUUUUGUCCUUUCCUCCUUUUCAAAAACAUGUAUGUAAAUGUUUUGUAAAACUUUGAAAACUUCCAAGGGCAGAGUGUAUCUAAAAAGGUGACCUAACUUUCUGAGUGCCCUUUAAUCACAUACACUAGCUAUCAUUAACCAGGUAGCCUGUGCUUGAAUGCUUUCUUCAGCCUUCAUGUGUCUGUGGGUCAUUCAGUGAUGUCAUUGAGACUUAUCACCCUCAUGGAUAUGGUAUUUUAAUUUGCUACACUGUGAAACUCCUUCCAGUGAUGCCUGCCUAAUGCAAAGCCUGCCUUCCUAUACACAUUCAAGAUGGGACAAGGUCAGCAAGCAAAAAAAAACAAACAAAAAAAAAAAAACACCAAAAAAAAACCCAACAGAAAGUGUUUUUACAAGGGAGGGAAUUGGGAAGGUUUUAAACCUUCAUACUGUCCUCAGAUAAAUUUAAUGGCCACCAGCUGGGUUGGGACCUCAGAAAGUGAGAAGCCAAACUCUUUCCUGCCUGGCUCACCCUGCAGAUGGAGGUGGGCAGCACUGGGUGUCCUGCACGCAAGACCAGUCAGGGGUUGCUUCCCAUGGAUCUUACAUUCUGGCUGGAGACAGAGCACAGAUCCCCGUGUGCAUUUCAAGGUUUUAAAACAUUAUUCAGUCUGGAUGAAUUGACUACCCUUUUCUUUGUCAUCAGAGAAUAUUUAUGACCAUUGAAGCAAGGCUGAGUUCCUGGAGACGGGAUAACGCGUGGCUUUAUGCUGCCAGACAGAGAGUUCCUUUUGGUGGUCACACCAAUGUUUUUUCAUACUCCCACGGACACCGCAACUUUUUUGGAUAAGGAAGAAGAUGAUGGAACACAGAUGAGGGAAAGAAAUGGCCUCAGAGAACUUGGAUACGUGGGGGUAUUUUUACCCUUUGGGGUUUUUUCUUCCUGAAUUUCAAUGAGUGACUUAUUGGAAACUUGUUUGGGUUUGAAGUGUUUUGUUCUUGUUCCGCACACACAAAACUGUUUUGGGUUGUUUUGUUUGUCUUUGUUUAUAAUGCAGCUGAGAUAGGGUGACUUGAUAUUUUUAAAAUAGAAAACUGAUGCCUUCUGAGGGAAUGGGGGGAACAGAGGAGGACUUUACUAGCUGAAAACAUGGGUCAUGCCAAGGACAACUUGUUGCUGUGAAGGAUGUGUUGGAGAUGGGGCGGGAGCAUUGUGUGGAAGCUGGUUAUGGAGGGAAGAGUAGUGCUGCUUCUCCUUGAAUGCACAAUCCACUGAGUAUUCUCCAAAUGCUGGAUCCCAAGGGUUCCUUCACCAUGGUGACUUACCUAGUUUUAUUUAUUAAUGUUUUUUCUCUCUUUUAAGGCAAAUUCUAGAUCAAACUGUUCCAGCCCACAACAUUAGCAACUAUCAGGCACCGAAUGCCAAACAGAUACCUUCUGUUUCAUUCACUGCUGUCCUGCUGUCUCCUAUCACUCCCUAAAAAAACCCAACCAAACAAAAAAACUUAUAAAAAUAAUCCUGUCUUAUUGCUGAGGUAACAAAGUUCAUGAGAUUACAAAUCCAGUUUUUUGAAUUUCUAAGCAGGAGAAGCCUCACAGAAAAUGUUUAGCAUCUUGUCCUUUCUCAUUGUAAUAAUUACGAGAGCCUAUGAGGAGCUAUGAGUUUAGGGGUGCGCUCUUUUGGAGCCUGCUACACAUGGGAGGCUGCCCAGUGCACCCAGGGGUAAUAGCAAAUUGUCAGAAAUAAAUUGUCAGAUGUGCUGUGGAACAGGAGGAUAAUAUGGUAAUGACAGAGCGUCUUCCAGGGGUUACCAAUCAAAUUAACAGCAUGAAUCUCCACACGAGACCUGUUUGUUUCCAUUUUACGUUUGUCAGGAAGAUCACAGUCCUGUUUUCCAUGUUGUGUAACUAAAUUCAUAGGUAGCACAAGUAAGGUAUUCUAUUUUUUCAAAGUGUUCACCUUUGGGAUAACUCCAUAGUUUGAAAUGAAUGUUUCCUGGGCAUUUCUAUAUCUGUAAUAUAAAGAAUAUGGUGAAUGCUAUGAUAAUGGAAGGCAUAGCUCAAAUAUUUGCAAAUGAUCACUGUAAGGUAAGUCUCUUUGAUGAUAAUCCUCUUUUCCUUAUCUGCUGUCGUUACCAUUCCACAGCUUCCUCACAUUUCUAUGAAGGCUGAUCAAACUGGAGGCAGGGACCAGAAAUUAUUUGUAGUAUUUAAAUAAACUCCAUUGUUCCGAGGUUUCUGAGUAACAAAAUUGCAAUGGUGCUGGUGGGGUUCAAAUACAGAUUCAGAUAGGCUUUGCCAGCUCCUGCUGGUGGACAGGGAGAGAAAGAAGAUGGCACUGGUUUUGCCUAUCUAUUUUCAGCUAAUUUUGAUUUUGUUGUUCAGAAAUAAUUGAGAUUUCACAUAGUUUUAGAAGUUUAGCAAAGGUACACUUUGUGCAGAUUCACUUCAAACAUCAGCAGGCGCUGAGAAAGCGAAGCAAUAAUGUUGGACAGGGCAGUAUUACAGUCAUUCUUUCUACCACUUCCUUUUGACCUGAUGUAAACAAAUGCAUGUUUUUAUGUUCUUUCCCUUGGAAAAUGGAGAACACUGAAGUCAAAUGAUCAAUAUGUGGUUUUUCCAUGGUUACUUGGGAAACUUCAUCCCAAAAGUCUUUUUUAAUCACAAGUUGUCUGGCAUCCAUUGACAGGAUCCAGCUUUUCCUUUUUGGUCCACUGUAAAUUAUGGAAUCUGGAUAACAGGAACAAAUCUGGAUGAACUGGUUUAUGGAACAAUAAAUCCAGGUAUGUGUCUUCGUGAAAACUAGGGAAUUUUUAAAAGAGGAAUCAUUGCUGGUUUUAAAAUGGUGAUUAAUUUUAAAUUUUCUGUGCACUGUAGACUUCCAUACAAAUAUUUUUCAUGUUUGUUUCAUUUUUUCUCUGAGUUGUUUUAGCAAAUUUGUAGAAGCUGGAUUUGAUGGCUUCCAAACCACCAUGGUUUCUUUUCACCUAGCAAGAACCUGAGGUAGUCCACACGUGAACACAAGGUGCAGCAAGCCAGUUUGUGGUGAUUGGUGCCAGGACACAAUGGCUGGCAGUGCUAUUCUCCAGAUGUACCAUUUGGCACAUUAAGCAAUUCUUUUCUUAGAAGGGGAACCUAUGGUUUUGCCAUGUAAUGCAAAACACCAAUGGAAUCACUACAUAAGCAAAAUGCCAGUAAUGGUAUAGUGGUCCAGCCACAAACAUUGACCAUGUGGAGGGCCAUCCAAGAUGAGGGCUUGUUUGUGCUGAGUGCCAUUCAUAUGUGUUGCAAGGCAACCCUUGCCUAGGCGUGCUUCAGUCUUGAAUGAGUAGGAGAAAAAGUUGACGGAAGGAGGACAAACAAAAAUUGCUGGAAGCUGAGAAGGAAUAUCUCAAGGAGGAUUGUUUUAUUCUUGCUGUGUUUCUCAUACACCUACCCAUGCUGCUCGAUACCAUCAGAGGCAGGAUAUCGGCAAACGACCCAGGGCAAAACAGGGUUGUGAAGGUUUACAACUGCUUUUGGAGUUGAAGUGGAGAGAGUCACCACCGUGUUGCCGUGAGCUCUGCCACACUGAUAGAGCAUGGGGCAAAUGGGAUACGUGCUCAAGGUAAAUGACUUUCUAAAAAGCUACUAGGUAAAUGUUUCAGUUCAUAUGCAGGCUCUUCACACUCCCAUUAAUGUUGCAGGAAGUGAUCCCCUCCCAAAUGUAGAGUGCCUGUGGUGGGGGGAUUAAGGUAGGUUGAGAUAUUACUAUGGGUCUGUUUCUUCUUUGAAGCAAAUAUAUUAAAUAAAGUUAAAAUUUGAAUUGGCAUGUGAAUGUAACUCAAACCACUGGUGCUACUUUACUCACCAGAAUGCUAUGAGCAAGAGUGUGUUCAUGAAAGAAAUGUUGAUUAGGCAAUCAACCUGUGUAAGACUUUUCCCUGUGGCACACCAUCUACUCUUCAUAUUUGCUGUAUUUUCAUAAGACUUAGGUAACUGAACUUGCAUAUUCUCCAUUCCAAAAUCCAUUCCAUCUUUUAAAUACUUUUCAGUCAGAGGUGGCUUUUCAUGCCUGGCUGUCAUCCAAAUUGCAUGCUGAAGGCAUUUUUGAGGAAACUUGAAGUUUUAGAGUGUUAAUAAAGUGCUGUUGCCUGCUAAAAUAAAACCAGAGUGGUUCAACAUUAGUGCUAAAGAGUAUGUAAACAGUAGAGGCUGAAAUGUUUUAAAAUUACUUUUAUUUGUUUGGACAUCACCUUGUGCUCAAGGUAUGUUGGUUGAUAUUUCAUGAGCUAUUUUAGUAAAGACUAUUAAAAAUUAUUCAUUGCCAUAUGCUGAAUAUGUCAAGCUUCUCUUCUGCUGCUAUUUGUAUGUUAGAGGAUUCUUCUAUAGUCAUACAAAAUCAUGUAUUAUGUUAUUUUCCUUCAAAAUCUUCCUUGAGCCUGCACUGCAAGAAUGCCUAAAAAGAAAGUUUUGUCUACAGCUUGGUAGGUAGUACCUACCUGAAGAUACUUUCACAAGGCUGUUCUCUUCCUUUGUCCUUCUGCAUCUUUUGUCCUUUACUUGUCUGCCUGAAUCAAAAUCUUCUCUCUUAACCUCUUUAUUUGGAAAUUCUCUGAGGCAAGAACUAAAUUUAUUUUCUAGGUGCAUGCAGCACCUAGAUCUUUGUCCAUAAUUA